CAAUUGUUUUACUUGGCGAACGGUUGUGAUUUUUUUCGAAGGCGGUUUUAAAGAAGAUUAAAAGUUUUGAAAGAAGACGUAAUUUACGCAGAAAAUAGAAAAUAUAAUUUCAGUGGAAAUUGAAAAUAAUAAUAAAUCGUUAUGGUGUUUGUAAACAGAAAAAUAAAUUAUAAACGUGUAAUAAAUAUUUAAGUAAAAAAUAUUAUUUUAAUAACUAUAAAGAUGCUUAAAACAAAACAAGUAGAAUAUUAAAUACCAUGAUGUGUUACAAGUGCAGUCUUUACAAUCUUUUUAUUACAAUCAAAUCAAAAAAGUACCAGUUAAAAGAAGAACAAUAAUGAUCAACAAUAAAGCGGUAUUCGAUCGUAUAUUGAUCAUAUCUUAAAGAGAUGAUUUUAUGAUUUGAAAGUCCAAAGUAGAAAACAACUUGUACAACUGCUGCUGAAUAACAAACUCUAUGAGAUAACAACCAAUCUUUCACAAAAGAACACCUUCAAAGAUGAUCAUAUGUUUGUAAUUGAACUAAAAACGGGUGUAUAAGGCUUCCUUGGAUAUUUGCUUUCACUUAAGGAUGACUUCCAGGAACAUAAGUUUGUAAUUCAACUAAUAAUGGUUUGUAUAAGGCUUCCCUGGAUAUUGGCUGUAUAAAGAUUCCCUGUUAAUAUCAAAUAAUUUGUUUAAAACAGAAUGAAUGCUGAAAUUGCUUUAGAAUGUGAAACUUAUAAUAUUCAACGAUAAAGUAAAAAUUUUUCAAAUCCACUUAGAAAAAUAAAAACUUGUAAACGAUUAAGUGUGAUUCUGUAUAAUAAAAUAGUUUACAUUAAAAUUGAAAACCUUACAGUAAAAUUAACU